rnacentral:miRNA from 1 species
CAAAAGCAUUUGUGGUUUUUGUCAUUAAAAGUAAUGGCAAAAACUGCAAUUACUUU